UGAUCCAGCCAUGCCGCGUGAGUGAUGAAGGCCCUAGGGUUGUAAAGCUCUUUCGCCAGGGACGAUAAUGACGGUACCUGGAUAAGAAGCCCCGGCUAACUUCGUGCCAGCAGCC
rnacentral:rRNA from 1 species